rnacentral:tRNA from 1 species
GGUGACGUACCCAAGUGGUAAGGGACGGCUCUGCAAAAGCCCUAUUCCUCGGUUCGAAUCCGAGCGUUACCU